AACGAACGCUGGCGGCAUGCCUAACACAUGCAAGUCGAACGCUCCGCAAGGGGAGUGGCGCACGGGUGAGUAACACGUGGGAAUCUGCCUUUCGGUUCGGAAUAACUUCGGGAAACUGAGGCUAACACCGGAUACGCCCUGAGGGGGAAAGUUUACGCCGAAAGAGGAGCCCGCGUCCGAUUAGGUAGUUGGUGGGGUAAAGGCCUACCAAGCCGACGAUCGGUAGCUGGUCUGAGAGGAUGAUCAGCCACACUGGGACUGAGACACGGCCCAGACUCCUACGGGAGGCAGCAGUGGGGAAUAUUGGACAAUGGGCGGAAGCCUGAUCCAGCAAUGCCGCGUGAGUGAUGAAGGCCCUAGGGUUGUAAAGCUCUUUCGCACGCGACGAUGAUGACGGUAGCGUGAGAAGAAGCCCCGGCUAACUUCGUGCCAGCCGCCGCCGUAAAAC
rnacentral:rRNA from 1 species